rnacentral:rRNA from 1 species
UCUAAGCACAUGCCUUAAUACGGUGAAGCCGCGAAUAGCUCAUUACAACAGCCACCGUUUACUAGAAUAUAGUUAUCCUACUUGGAUAACUGUGGCAAUUCUAGAGCUAAUACAUGCAAAAAAGCUCCGACCGCAAGGAACGAGCGCAUUUAUUAGAAUAAAAACCAAUCGGGUUUCGGCCCGUAAUUUGGUGAAUCUGAAUAACUUUGCCAAUCGCACAGUCCUAGUACUGGCGAUGUAUCUUUCAAGUGUCUGCCUUAUCAACUUUCGAUGGUAGGUUAUACGCCUACCAUGGUAGUAACGGGUAACGGAGAAUAAGGGUUCGACUCCGGAGAGGGAGCCUGAGAAACGGCUACCACAUCCAAGGAAGGCAGCAGGCGCGCAAAUUACCCACUUCCAGAACGGAGAGGUAGUGACGAAAAAUAACGAGACAGUCCUCUUCGAGGUCUGUCAUCGGAAUGGGUACAAUUUAAAUCCUUUAACGAGGAUCUAUUGGAGGGCAAGUCUGGUGCCAG